AUGUCCGAGUAUCUAAAUGUUGUCAGCAAGAUGUUUGAUAGUGAGGCUGAAGGCUAUGAAUUCUACAACAAAUAUGCUCUUGAAAAAGGUUUUAGUGUGAGGAAAAGCUACGUUGAGUGGGAUGGAUCCAACAAAUACAUAAUUUUAAGGAAAAUUGUGUAG
rnacentral:rRNA from 1 species